UCCAUGUGUUUGUUAAAAUGCCUAAGUGAAUAAUAAUUGUGUAUUAUGACCCAUUUGUGAUUCAAAUGAUGAACUCAUGAUGUACCCACAUGUUCAAAAGGAAUUCCAUGCUAAAUUUGUGUCUUGUAAUGAUUUGAGAAAAUGUUUAUGAGAUUAAAAUUGUGAAUUUAUGAUAUAUUGCAUACGUUCCUAUCCAUGUACAAGCUUAUGACCUUCAAGUGCUUGUGAAAUCCCUCAAUGAUUGUAUUGUGAAUUGAUGACUAUGGUCAUGUGUUCAAGAAUGGUCAUGUCUUAUUAUUUUUAUGCUAUAGAGUCCUAGGGGUAUUUAAUACCCGAUAAUUUAGUUGUGUGCCUAGAGCCAGUAUCAGUUUUCAAGAUAUUCUCAGUCAAUCCAUGAUCAUUAGAAUUCAAUUAGUUACAGAACUCAGGAAAACUCAGUAAUCUCAAUGUCAGUCCAGUCCCAAUUAAUAUUCAGUUAAGUCCUCAGUAAAACUCAGUCAGUUAUUAGAAUUCAGUAGUAUUUCAUUAGUCAAUGAAACUCAGUAAACUCAGUCCAUUUCAGCACAGUAUAAUCAGUUCAGCGUCUAAUCAGAUGGGAGUAGGAUUCAACACUGAGUGAACCCAUGGAUGGGAACUCACCUGCUAGCAGAGGGUGUGAUUCUUAGAAGCAAUCCUUACAUUCUAGAACUAUAUAGCCA
rnacentral:lncRNA from 1 species